ACUGAACUUCGCCGCAACUGCAUUGUAGGAGAAGUUGAAGAACAAUUAAAGCUACUUGAAGAGUUGGUUCCAGAUUGGAUUUGUGGAAAGAUGGUGUCUAGUGGGGAUUUUCUCUACUUGGACACUUACUGAAAAAGGGAAAGACUACGACUUGCAGUAGUACCGGGAAGAAUUGUCUUGAGUAAGGAUCCGCUCACAAAAGUAGGCGGGUUUCCACUUGGAAAUGGUUUUUGGGAAGUAUAUAUUCAGGUGGCAAUUGUAUGUGAAGAGACUUUGAUGAGACCCUAUGGACGAUACAGAACAAUUGGGGAUGCAACUGGAACAAGUAUUUGUUCGCCCGAUUGUUGUUGUUUGGUUGUGAUAGCUAUGGAUUGAGCUAAAUGGAGGGAUCUCUCUCUCUCUCUCUCUCUCUCUCUCUCUCUCUCUCUCUCUCUUUUUUUUUUUUUUUUUUUUUUUUUUUUUUUGAAUACUGAGAAUUUUCACACUUGAUUGGAAUCAAUACUAGUUCCAAAGAUUUGUUGUUUGGAAAA